UAACGCGAAGAACCUUACCUGCUCUUGACAUCCCAUUCGAUAGAGGGUAAUGCCUCUAGCCCUUCGGGGGAAUGGAGACAGGUGGUGCAUGGUUGUCGUCAGCUCGUGUCGUGAGAUGUUGGGUUAAGUCCCGCAACGAGCGCAACCCUUAUUGUCAGUAGCCAGCAGGUGAAGCUGGGCACUCUGAUGAGACUGCCGGGGAUAACCCGGAGGAAGGUGGGGAUGACGUCAAAUCAUCAUGCCCCUUAUGAGCAGGGCUACACACGUGCUACAAUGGCGUAAACAGAGGGAAGCGAAGGAGUGAUCCGGAGCAAAUCUCAAAAAUAACGUCUCAGUUCGGAUUGUAGUCUGCAACUCGACUACAUGAAGCUGGAAUCGCUAGUAAUCGCAGAUCAGAAUGCUGCGGUGAAUACGUUCCCGGGUCUUGUACACACCGA
rnacentral:rRNA from 1 species